UACGUAGGUCCCGAGCGUUGUCCGGAUUUAUUGGGUUUAAAGGGAGCGUAGGUGGAUUGUUAGGUCAGUUGUGAAAGUUUGCGGCUCAACCGUAAAAUUGCAGUUGAAACUGGCAGUCUUGAGUACAGUAGAGGUGGGCGGAAUUCGUGGUGUAGCGGUGAAAUGCUUAGAUAUCACGAAGAACUCCGAUUGCGAAGGCAGCUCACUAGACUGCAACUGACACUGAUGCUCGAAAGUGUGGGUAUCAAACAGG
rnacentral:rRNA from 1 species